rnacentral:sRNA from 1 species
AGCCUAAACUCAAAAAUUCGUUUUUGGGCAUGGCACCAAACCCACGUAGAUACGGAUCCCGUCGUUCAGGCUCCAUCUACGUGGUCAUAUGCCGAAAGGCGUGUGGAGACGCAAGUCUC